rnacentral:tRNA from 1 species
AGAGAUAUGGUGUAGUGGUUAUCACGUCUGCUUUACACGCAGUAGGUCCUGGGUUCGAUCCCCAGUAUCUCUA